rnacentral:rRNA from 1 species
GACGAACGCUGGCGGCGUGCUUAACACAUGCAAGUCGAACGGAAAGGCCCUGCUUUUGUGGGGUGCUCGAGUGGCGAACGGGUGAGUAACACGUGAGUAACCUGCCCUUGACUUUGGGAUAACUUCAGGAAACUGGGGCUAAUACCGGAUAGGAGCUCCUGCUGCAUGGUGGGGGUUGGAAAGUUUCGGCGGUUGGGGAUGGACUCGCGGCUCAUCAGCUUGUUGGUGGGGUAGUGGCUUACCAAGGCUUUGACGGGUAGCAGGCCUGAGAGGGUGACCGGACACAUUGGGACUGAGAUACGGCCCAGACUACUACGGGAGGCAGCAGUGGGGAAUAUUGCACAAUGGGCGGAAGCCUGAUGCAGCAACGCCGCGUGCGGGAUGACGGCCUUCGGGUUGUAAACCGCUUUCGCCUGUGACGAAGCGUGAGUGACGGUAAUGGGUAAAGAAGCACCGGCUAACUACGUG